rnacentral:tRNA from 1 species
GGAGAGAUGUCCGAGCGGUUUAUGGAGCUAGUCUUGAAAACUAGUGAUGCUUAACGGCACCGGGGGUUCGAAUCCCUCUCUCUCCG